GGGAGACUGUAUGGGUAGGAUUUGUGUAAAUUGAAUCUUAACUUCUUUUGGAAGCUUUUUAUUCUCAGACCCACAAAAGUAUUUCUCUCUCCAUUUUUUUCCACAUCUAUUGAUUUCAUAGAUUUGAUAAACAAAAGAAAGAAAGAAAAAAAAAUCUGAUCCUCUAUUUCCAUAUCCAUCUGAACUCUAUCUAUCUGAUAGAUCUGAAUUGUUGAAGACUAAAGCCAAAUCUGGUUUCAAAGAAGGAUUGUCAUGGAAAAACCAAAGUGGGUUUGAAUACUAUUUUAGAUUUUCACUCCUGGAAACAGACUAUCUCGAUGAGGAAAUAACAAGGGGAUAUAUAUUUGUAGGUUUGAUGAUAUCAUUCAUAUAUGAAUGAUGACGAUAUAAAGUGUUUUUAAAAAGGAAAAAUUCACCAGAUCAUGGAUCAACAUAUACAAGGAGUUGUCAACCUUAUUGAUCUUGCUGGUAGUGAACACCUUUCUUAAAGUGGAUCGACUCGGAACGACUAAAAGUGACAUUUUAUACUACAAGUGACAUUUUAUACAAUGUGAUAACUUAUAAAGAUAAUAAAGUGUUUGGCAGGACUGGAUCUCUAUUGGACUGAAUCUUGACACAAAAGGCUUAAUUAUUAAUAAUCCAUUUACUUUUUGUUUAUAAGUUUGCUUUUUAACCCAUAUAAUCUAUUUACUAUGUGAUAUAGUUGCAGCUACAAUCAUUUGCUUUACUAGAACAUGAGAACAGCAUGAAAGGCACAACAGAUAACAAUAUUUAUAUUUAUGUUUGUUUUUGGGCUUAAGGUUAGCGGUGCAGCUUAUAAACUUGAACAACGGACCAAAUUUGUUUCAUAGAGACUGCCCAGAAGGAACCGAGGAAAAAGGGAAUCGUUCUUACGUUGAAAAAGUCAGCAGCCAACCCAUAUGGAAAAACCAAGGUCAAGAAAUUUUGAUAUAUGUCAAGAUGAUUUGAGUAGCAAAUGGGGAAAAGGGAAGUUGGUUAUCAGCAACAAGAACGCUUUAAGCCCAUAUGUAUCUACCAAAUAAAAAGUGCUCUCUAUUCAGGUUAUUAUUGGGUCAGCCACAGUUCGUGGGGGGUUUAAGCUGGGGCUUUCAAGAUUGGUGAUACUACUGGUACACUCAAUUAUAUUAUGCACAACAAACUGUAUAUACGGGCUAAAAGGGGUUUGGGAACUUAAGUUAAGAACACAACUCAAAUUGUUGAAUGGGUAGAAUGUUGUCCAUAUUUAAAACAGACGAUAAGAACACAACUCAAAUGGUCGAAUGGGUCAGAAAGUCGCCCAUAUCUCAUGUUUAUAAAUUGUUACAUAUAGCAAUAAUGCAGCUAAUGUUUUGGACAAGAAUAGAAAGGCAAUCAAAGGUGACCCUAAGGAAGAACAGAAAAAGGGGCGAUGCAUUUGACAUGGUGUUGGCUUUCUUGAUUCUACAAUAGUCCUUAAUCCAGGUCUUUGGAAAAGAUUCUUUAAAGAAGACAUUUUGAUUGGGAGAAGAGGUGGGCAAUUGCUGUUUGUUGGCACUACUGUUGGUUUGUUAAGUUUGAGAUAUUGGCUUCUUUAAGUAAAUACUUUUGAAUUGAUGGCAGUUAGUUUGAACAUAA